AUUGAACGCUGGCGGCAGGCUUAACACAUGCAAGUCGAGCGGGGGAAGGUAGCUUGCUACUGGACCUAGCGGCGGACGGGUGAGUAAUGCUUAGGAAUCUGCCUAUUAGUGGGGGACAACAUCUCGAAAGGGAUGCUAAUACCGCAUACGUCCUACGGGAGAAAGCAGGGGAUCUUCGGACCUUGCGCUAAUAGAUGAGCCUAAGUCGGAUUAGCUAGUUGGUGGGGUAAAGGCCUACCAAGGCGACGAGCUGUAGCGGGUCUGAGAGGAUGAUCCGCCACACUUGGACUGAGACACGGCCCAGACUCCUACGGGAGGCAGCAGUGGGGAAUAUUGGACAAUGGGGGGACCCCUGAUCCAGCCAUGCCGCGUGUGUGAAGAAGGCCUUAUGGUUGUAAAGCACUUUAAGCGAGGAGGAGGCUACUCUAGUUAAUACCUAGGGAUAGUGGACGUUACUCGCAGAAUAAGCACCGGCUAACUCUGUGCCAGCCGCCGCAGUAA
rnacentral:rRNA from 1 species